CAAGGGCCGCUCCGAGCCCGGCGCAGGCACAGUCCGGGAGGCGCUCGGCCGGGAAGGAGGCGCGGCCGUUUCGCAGACGCAGGGAGACGCCCCGCCCCGCCGCGGAGCCCAUGGGACGCGACCACUCUCCUCUGGUGACGGCGGCGGCGCUGCUGCUGCUGAGCCUGGCUUCGGCGGCCCUGACGCCCGCGCUCCCCCAGCUCUGCCCGCCCGGCAAGUUCCUCGGCUGCGCGGACUGUGGGAAGAGCCCGGACGAAGUGUGUCUCGCCUGCCCCAGGGGCACUUUCUCCGCCGCUGUCAGUGCCCGGGAGAGCUGCACCAGGUGCCGCAGGUGUGAAGGGAAAUUCAAAUAUAAAAGGGAGUGUUCUCCAACAAUGGAUGCAGAAUGUGCAUGUAAGGAUGGGCAUCGCUGUAUUGGAAAAGACUGUUCUAAAUGUGUAGAAAACUGUGGCGUAGGUCAGGAACCUCUUGAAGAAGCUUGCCAAACUUGUCCCAGUGGGACAUUUAACAAUCAGACCAAUGGUCCCUGCAGACAAUGGACAAAAUGCCUUCCAGAUAAGGUCCUGGUGAAUGGGACUAAUAGGAGUGAUGUGGUUUGCGAACAAGCUUCAGAAACUAGGACUCCAUCCCCCAUUUCCAUCAUAGUCCCUAUCCAUGUACAAGGGAAGGAUCUUCAGGUGGUCACCAUUGGGAUCGCUGUUACUGUGGCCGUGGUGGUAUGCAUAAUGUUUCUGCUGCCUUUGUAUGUGUGCUUCAGCAUCUGCGACAAAAAGAAACUACCUGCUAUGUUCAAGAAAAGUGAAUUUUGCUGAUUCAGAAUUCCGAAGUGUCUCCUGAAAUUGGAAUGCUGGUAUACCAAGAUUUGGAUUUGUCCCCUAACAACAUUCAGAUGGAGUUUACAAGGACACAUUUCAGUUGCAACUUUAAGUAUUGGACACAUAGUAGCAUGUAUUUCUUUGUCUUUUAUCUACAUUGAGUGACUCAUACAUCAACAUUGUACAUUAGCUUAACUAGGGAAAGUACUGGGAAAAUCGUUGAAUAUCUUGGUCUUUAUUUCCUCAAACUGCCCUUUGAACUGUUAUGAACCUGAGAUCCCACUGAAUGAAAAGAGACUGUGGUAGGGAGAGAGCAUUUAACUAGCUGGAAAAUAAUUCUUCUGCACAAGGCUCUAAAACUUUACUCCCUCACAAGUAUACAAAGCCUUAAAAUAGUCCAGAAUAUAUAUGUAUAAGAGAUUACUAAUCUGAAAAAAAACCACCUACUUUGUUCUGUCUAUUCUGCCUCCUUGGGCUGGCAAGUCUGACCUUUCCAGGGUCUGACCUCUGACUGGGGAUCCAAGUACCUCAGCAUCUAACCAUACCUCUUUAUAUUAAGACAAUAACAAGAGUUUAUGCUAACUUGAUCUAUAAGACAGAAGACAGGCAGCUCUGUGGUGUACAUUGACCAAGGAGGAAGGUUAUACGAUCUAUAGUGAGACCAAGUUUGAAUAAUUUGGUUCUUACAAUUCUGUGUGGAUUCAUGAAAUCCCCCCACUGGUAUUAGGAACACACCAUUAUAUUUGAAUUGUAACCUGCCCACACUUUGAAGGUAAGCUUUUGACCCUAUGUUACUUAUACUGUGUUUUAUAAAUGUUAGCUAAUUAAUUGUCAUGACAUCCCAGUGAGAGAUGGAUUAUUAUCCCCACUUUAUAGCUAGUGGAACGGAUACUAAGAGGUUCAAGACUUGUCUCACACCACACAUCAAGUCAGGAGUUAAACUAGAGUAAGAAUGCAGCCCGUGCUGCCUCCCUGAUGAGCUGAAGGCUGAGAGCUAGCAAAGAAUUUCAUUUCAGCCACAUCUGUUAUUUCUUAUGUACUGGAAAAAAAGUCAGCGUUAUUGAGUCCCUCGGGAUACACCAAACAGCAGCACAGUACAAUAAGCAGAGGCACUGGGCGCAGACUGACUUUUGUGCUAACGAUACUCCUUCCCUUCUGCCACACAGUUGUAUGACUUGGCUUCCUGUUAUUAAAAAGGCAAAGGAUCAUAAGCACAUGCUACCCCAGAUCCAAAAGUGCAUCAUUCCCAGGAACAAACCAUGGUCAUCACUGGCAUGUGUCAUAUGUUCUGUCUGUUCAUUUUAGAUCACAUGGCUACUAACAACAUUGCCCUGGACAAUCCCCUGGAUGCUCAGAGUAGACACUCCUUGUCCUGUGCCGCAUUUGGCUAUCAGCAUUAUAGUUUCAUUUUUUAUACAGACACAAGAUCCAUGUAAGAAGUGUCCAGUGUCUACUUAUUGAACCAGACAAUUAGAUGCAUGCCACAGCUCAAAGAAACACUCACCAUUCUUUGCUGCUUCAGUACAUCUGGAGAACUUUGAACAGAGUUACCACGGGGUCUGGAUGUGUGGCUUUCACUUUCCUAAUCUCCUGCCUGACUCAUCCAGGAAGUGACAGCAUGUUACAGGGGCAACAAAUACGUCUUCAAGAGCUUGGUGCUUACUUGUUCUGAUGCCAGCAACUGGGCCAUGAAGUUGCAUUGGCUUUGGAAGCUAAAGAAAGGAGUGAGUUUCCCCUUUUUUGAAGUAUUUUUAAGGACAAGCCACCUCCUUCUUCCACAGUCCUGGAAUUUUGCCCUGAUAUCUGCCACAUUAUACACACACACUUGGGCCAGGAAGACAUUUUCUAACUGCUAAGAAAAACAAAUGAGGGAAAUGUGAACAGCCUGCAUCUAGCCUGUUACCUCAUCCUGAGCCACCUGGGCUGGUCAAUGGUUGUCAUUGCAUUGCUGGUUCCUCCUUCCUCUCUGCAGAAUAGAUUACAAAGUUUGUUGAGAAUCAAUAGUAAGAGAUACUAAUGGAAAGCAGGCAGCAGCAACAGUUCUAAGGCACAAAGAGCGCAAUCUAUGCUAUUUCUAUGCAAAGUGACUUUUUUUGGUUUUAUUAAAAACAGAUCUUAAUAUUCUGAGAUACUGAAGUUGUUUUAACCAGUUGCCUGUCAAGGUGGCCUGUAUAUGGACUCAGGGGCAUGUGUACUUUAGAUAAUGGAGAUAGGAUUGUGUGUAGUACACAAUCCCCUAGAAAAAUAUAAUCAAAUUAGAACUUCCAAUUCGAGAAAAACCUCUGCUGGGGUCUAAUGUGCUCCCUUUCUGCUUAAGGUUCACCUAUGGCAUGAGUCUACUCCUCCUCCUUCAGGCUCCAAGCCACUUCUUCUUCUUGUAGGAACUGCUCCUGAUUCCCAAGUUCUAGUUCUGCCAUCUGCCAUUUCAGGGGGUUAGUGCUGCAAGGCUGCUGGGGAUUCUCAUCUGAACAGAACUGCAAAAUCACAAGUAUCAAACAUGAUUGAAAGAGACCUGAGGUGGGUCCAUCAGAAAAGCAGAGUUGGCCAAAAAGGAAGCUAUUGCUAAUGGGAAUCCCAAGACUUCCCAAUCUCAGCAUGCUGGAUCAAAGAAUAAUCAGCAAUGACAAAACUGGGGAAAGGUGCCAAAGAGAAGAAACACAAGUCAACCAGCCUUCGGAAAAAUUCUCCCUUCCAAAACAAACACUGUAUAUGGCUUUCCAAAUUUAGCAUCCAUUGACUCCCUCAAAAGCUUUUAUAAACACAGCGAAACAGGACUGGCCCUCCAUCAAUCAAGAAGAGCAGAGAGAGAAGCGCUGAUGAUUUUCUUGUUCCUCUAAUUAAAGAAAAGGAAUUUUUUUACUUGAUUUUCUUCCUUCACUCUCCACUGAACUCAGUUCCUCAAGACACUCUGCUUCACUAUAGGGUUCUCAAAGCCCAAUACACUCCCCCGCUACUGAACAUGUGAUGACUAAAAGGAAAAUCCUGCCACCGAGAUCUAUUAUGCUGUGGAGUUGUCUAUUGUAGUAAGUGGCAAAAGCAUCAUCACUUGGUACAUUUUAAACAGGACUAGACAAAGAAUAUACAUAGGGAAUAAUCCUAACAUGGCUGAAGGGGAAUAGUCUACAAGAGUGUAUUAAAUGGCAUUUUCCGUUUCUAAUUCUGAUGAUUUGUUGGUGCUGCUGUAAUACAAAUAUAUGAAUA